GUGGGGAAUAUUGGGCAAUGGGCGAAAGCCUGACCCAGCAACGCCGCGUGAAGGAAGAAGGUUUUCGGAUCGUAAACUUCUAUCCUUGGUGAAGAUAAUGACGGUAGCCAAGAAGGAAGCCCCGGCUAACUACGUGCCAGCAGCCGCGGUAAUACGUAGGGGGCAAGCGUUGUCCGGAAUGAUUGGGCGUAAAGGGCGCGUAGGCGGCCCGGUAAGUCUGAAGUGAAAGUCCUGCUUUUAAGGUGGGAAUUGCUUUGGAUACUGUCGGGCUUGAGUGCAGGAGAGGUAAGCGGAAUUCCCGGUGUAGCGGUGAAAUGCGUAGAGAUCGGGAGGAACACCAGUGGCGAAGGCGGCUUACUGGUCUGUAACUGACGCUGAGGCGCGAAAGUGUGGGGAGCAAACAGGAUUAGAUACCCUGGUAGUCC
rnacentral:rRNA from 1 species